AGCUAGAGGCCAUAAUUCUAAGUGAAUUAACACAGGAACAGAAAACUAAACACUGCAUGUUUUCACUUAGAAGUUGAAGCUAAAUAUUGAGCACAUAUGGAUAUAAACGUGGAAAGAAUAGACACUGUGGACUACUAGAGUGGGGAGGAAAGGAGGGGGUAUGGAUUGAAAAACUACCUGUUGGGUACUUUGCUCACUGCCUGGGCACAAUAUACCCACAUAGCAAGCCUGCUGUAUGUACCACCAUAUCUAAAAUAAAAGUUGAAAUUAAAAAAAAAUAAAGUAUGUAUCUGUUUUAAAGAAAGUGGCACUGUAAGCUGGUGUUCUUUGUAGGUUUUUGUCAACUUAAGGGUCAGUGUAUAAAACAGCUGAAUUUAUCAUCUCCCCAUCCCCUCUCAUCCUCUUCCAGAGUUUCCAUCCCUGUGAAGGACACCAGGUCCACUGAUUGCUGAAGCCAGAAAAGUGCCCUGUUUUUAUAGAAAACAAGAAGAGCUUGCUGAAAUCCUUCUCAGAGGCAAGUUCUCCAAGACUGUGGGGAGAAUUACAAGAGAAAACACCUGUGUAGGACCAACAUAGGACCCUGCACAUACGAAGUGCUCAGUAAGUAAUGUGUCAUUUAGUACAAAGCAUUUGUUAUUUGGAAGUUUAUUUUUGUUGUUCUAAGGUGUAAGUCAUCAUAUCUCCGGCUAGGCAGUAUGCCAUACAUGAAAGUUUGGGAGAGUGGGGUUCAUUUAAAAAAAAAAUUCAGUGUUUUUAGUGUAGUCACCGAUAUGUGCAACCAUCACCACAGUCAAUUUUAGAACAUUCUGAUGACCCCCAAAAGGAAUCUCAUACCCAAUAACUCUGAUUUCCCUUUUUCCCUGUCCACCUAGCUGGCCCUAAGCAACCACUAAUCUACUUUCUGUCUCUAUAGAUGUGCCUAUUCUGGACGUUUCACACAAAUUAAAUUGUACUAUGUUUAGUCUUUUGUGACUGGCUUCUUUCAUGUAGCUUAAAGUUUUCAAGGUUUAUCCAUGUUGUAGCAAGUACCAGUACUUCAUUUCUUUGCGUGGCAGGGUAUGGAUAGACCACACUUUGUUUAUCCAUGUAUUAAUUGAUGGACAUUUGAGUUGUUUCUACCUUUUGGCUAUAGGGAAUAAUGCUG